GACGAACGCUGGCGGCGUGCUUAACACAUGCAAGUCGAACGAAGAGCGAUGGAAGCUUGCUUCUAUCAAUCUUAGUGGCGAACGGGUGAGUAACGCGUAAUCAACCUGCCCUUCAGAGGGGGACAACAGUUGGAAACGACUGCUAAUACCGCAUACGAUCUGACCUCGGCAUCGAGGAUAGAUGAAAGGUGGCCUCUACAUGUAAGCUAUCACUGAAGGAGGGGAUUGCGUCUGAUUAGCUAGUUGGAGGGGUAACGGCCCACCAAGGCGAUGAUCAGUAGCCGGUCGGAGAGGAUGAACGGCCACAUUGGGACUGAGACACGGCCCAGACUCCUACGGGAGGCAGCAGUGGGGAAUCUUCCGCAAUGGACGAAAGUCUGACGGAGCAACGCCGCGUGAGUGAUGACGGCCUUCGGGUUGUAAAGCUCUGUUAAUCGGGACGAAAGGCCUUUUUGCGAAUAGUGAGAAGGAUUGACGGUACCGGAAUAGAAAGCCACGGCUAACUACGUG
rnacentral:rRNA from 1 species